ACUUCCAGACAAUGAGUUAGUUGUCUUGGGUCGAAGAACCCAACCAACUGCGUGAAUUAAUGUGAAUUGCAGAACACAUUGAACAUCGGCAUUUUGAACGCACCAGAUGCUGAGUUUGUCUCAUAUCAAUAGGAAUGCUC
rfam:Strigamia maritima strain Brora ctg7180001222507, whole genome shotgun sequence.